rnacentral:lncRNA from 1 species
CCUACUUUGCAUAAUGCACAACAGGAGAUCUAUGUGGCCAGAGUGGAGGAACCCUUGGCUUUGAGGAACAAAUCAACAAAUAUAUGGAACUUGCAAAAUACUUCUAUAAGGUUUUAAAGAAAAAAGAUAACUUUAAGCUUGUGUUUGAUGCAGAGGCUUAAACAUAUUCCAAAAGGUUUUGAAAGAGAUCAAGAACUCCGAAAGAUUGCUCCAAAGAUUAAAGCACAGAUGAUGAUGGAAGGCACAAUCAUGAUAAGCUACCAGCCAUGUGGAGACAAAGUAAUGUGAAUGCCUUCACUUGGAUGUGCCUCCUAUUACUGAAGAACCCCUCAUGAUGUGUCCUUGUGUCAUUCAGCACUUCCACAGACCUCUUUGGAAGUCUCAGCUGCUUUCCCCGCACCACACUAGGGGUGCUGGUUUUAAAACCAAGAUUUAAAACAUAACAAAAUACACAACAGCUUUGGUUUUUGGGC